rnacentral:rRNA from 1 species
CCUACGGGAGGCAGCAGUGAGGAAUAUUGGUCAAUGGACGAGAGUCUGAACCAGCCAAGUAGCGUGAAGGAUGACUGCUCUAUGGGUUGUAAACUUCUUUUAUAAAGGAAUAAAACGCGGCACGUGUGCCUUUUUGCAUGUACCUUAUGAAUAAGGAUCGGCUAACUCCGUGCCAGCAGCCGCGGUAAUACGGAGGAUCCGAGCGUUAUCCGGAUUUAUUGGGUUUAAAGGGAGCGUAGAUGGGUUUUUAAGUCAGUUGUGAAAGUUUGCGGCUCAACCGUAAAAUUGCAAUUGAUACUGGGAGUCUUGAGUACAGUUGAGGUAGGCGGAAUUCGUGGCGUAGCGGUGAAAUGCUUAGAUAUCACGAAGAACCCCGAUUGCGAAGGCAGCUUACUAAACUGUGACUGACGUUGAUGCUCGAAAGUGUGGGUAUCAAACAGGAUUAGAUACCCUUGUAGUC